AGCAUGCCAUGGAACUUCACCCAAUUUGUAUCCAUACUUAAAUGUCUUUAGCUGCGUUAGCUCAAAAGCUUUGCGAAGCAACACAAAAUUUUUGUUAGAUUUACUACAAAACACCAAUGGACAGUUCAUCUCCGUCGAAUAGAGAAGCCCCGUCUAGAUUCAAUCCUGUGCGUAUUACAGACGAUGGUAGCCGUGCACGUCGAGCCACACGAUUCAGGAGGCAAAAUGCCUUUGACGAGGACAGUUUAGAUAUGGAUCUGGACGAAUCAGAGCCUUCAAGCGCAAUAUCAUUUGAACAACCAAGCUACAGCGAAACAGUAACACCGGUAGCACAGGCACGGAACCAAAGACGACGAAACAAUCGACUCCAUCCGUUUAGUCCGGUACAACUGGAAAUUAGUCGAAUCCAAAACACAACGGGAUUCCUGAUCAGCAGGCAACCAUUUAAGCGCUUGGUGCGAGAAACAUCUCAACCCCUGCAGCCGCAACUUCGCUUCCACAGUGAAGCCAUGGAAGCACUUCAGGACUCAGCUGAAUCUUUUCUUGUUAACCUGUUUGAAGAUUCGAAUUUAUGUGCUCUCCACGCUAGGCGUAUAACUAUAAUGCCGGAAGAUAUACAUUUGGCUUUGCGCAUUCGACGAGAAGAUCAAUUCCGACGAGCAUCGGAAUUCGGUGAGACUUAAAAUUAUACGUAAUUUUGAAGAAAACAAAUCAGAAGGAAUGUAAAACCUUGAGUGUACAGCUUGAAACAAACAGAAGCGGAAGAAGCGGACACCUGUUUCAGGAGAACUAACUUU